UAAGGUCUGACCUGCCCAAUGAGGAUUUAAAUGGCCGCAGUAUUUUGACUGUGCAAAGGUAGCAUAAUUAUUAGUUUUUUAAUUGAAAACUUGUAUGAAGGGUUGGACGAGAUAAAAUCUGUCUUUAUUUAAAUUAAAGUAGAAUUUAACUUUUAAGUUAAAAGGCUUAAAUGUUAAUAAAAGACGGGAAGACCCUAUAGAUCUUAAUUUAAUUAAUAUUUUAAUAAUUUAGGGCUAAUUUAAUUUAAAAUUUUAAUUAAAUUUUAUUGGGGUAAUAUAAAGAUUAAAUAAAUUCUUUUUAUUUAUUACAUUAAUUUAUGAAUAUAUGAUCCAAUAUUAUUGAUUAUAAGAUUAAGUUACCUUAGGGAUAACAGCGUAAUUUUUUUGGAGAGCUCAUAUCGAUAAAAAAGUUUGCGACCUCGAUGUUGGAUUAAAAAUUAGCUUGGGUGCAGAAGCUCAAGAUUUUGGUCUGUUCGACCAUUAAAUUUUUACAUGAUCUGAGUUCAGACCGGCGUAAGCCAGGUCGGUUUCUAUCUUUAUUUAAUUAACAUGUUUUAGUACGAAAGGACCAAAUAUUUAAUAUAAUUAUAUUUAUUUUUUGAAUAAUAUUAUUACUUUGGCAGAUUAGUGCAAUGAAUUUAGAAUUCAUGAAUGUAAUUAUAUUACAAGUAAUACUUGUAUUUAGGAGAUUUAUCAUUAAUAGUACUUUGUAUAUUAAUUCUUAUGAUUUGUGUAUUGGUUGGGGUAGCUUUUUUGACAUUAUUAGAGCGAAAGGUAUUAGGUUACAUUCAGAUUCGUAAGGGUCCCAAUAAGGUCGGAUUUA
rnacentral:rRNA from 1 species